AGGACGAGCGCUGGCGGCGUGCUUAACACAUGCAAGUCGAGCGGUAAGGCCCUUUCGGGGGUACACGAGCGGCGAACGGGUGAGUAACACGUGAGCAAUCUGCCCUUCACUUCGGGAUAAGCCUCGGAAACGGGGUCUAAUACCGGAUAUGACUGCGCCAUGCAUGUGGUGUGGCGGAAAGUUCUGGCGGUGAGGGAUGAGCUCGCGGCCUAUCAGCUUGUGGUGGGUAAUGGCCUACAAGGCUUCGACGGUAGCCGG
rnacentral:rRNA from 1 species